rnacentral:lncRNA from 1 species
UAAAUGCACUUCUUGGAUGUCAUGAUAGAACUGCUUAUGUCCAUAAAUUGUACUACAUGCAACUCCUUUUAUUCUUUGUAUACUUCAUUAGAUCAUAUCUCAAGAUUCAUACAUAUGUAAGGGCACUGCUUUUUGACGAGUCCAUUUUUUGUUUUUCUUAUUUUUAUAGAUGACAAUGAUCAAAGUUUUUGUGGUGUUGGAGUGUUGUGUGGGUAGCGGUACCAGACUACUUUGCUUAACUAACCAGGCUGCAUUAUUUAUUUUAACUGAACUGCAACGUAGUUCGUGCUUCAAUUGGAUGAACUGCAUCAUUGGAGGCCAGAGAUUGCAUUUGUAUGCUGACUUGGGGUUCCGUGUAUUUAUUUAUGAGAACAAACUGCGGUUUCUCAUAGUGCCCACACACAUUUUGUUGUUGUGCUUUUUCAUUUAGAAGACUUUUUGGGAAUGACCCUGACAAUAGUAUCUAG